rnacentral:lncRNA from 1 species
CUUGGAGGUGCUUAGAAACAUUCUUUCGCCCUACUUUUCUUUGUACGCAGCCUCUUGGUUGAACGGGUUAGUUUUUCUUUCUCCUUUGCGUGUUUUAUUUUUUAUUUUUAGUUUUAUGUAGUUUUUCUGUUUUCUCGCCUUCAAUUUAGUUUUAUUUGAUGUUGUUCGUGUUUCUUUUAUGUUUUGGUGUUCUGAGUAGUUGUAAUAAAUCGAUGUUAUUUUGCUGUGAUUUUUGCAGAUUUUCGAAAGUACUCAAAUUCGGCUUAGGUUCUUUCAGAUCUUGUGGUUUUCAGCGGUAUAAUACUAGAAUUAAAGACCGGGAUUUGUUUUCUUUGAUCAAAGUUCUAUGAUUCUGAUAAAUUUUCUUCGUAUAUCCAAAUGG